AUACGUAGGUGGCAAGCGUUGUCCGGAAUUAUUGGGCGUAAAGCGCGCGCAGGCGGUCCUUUAAGUCUGAUGUGAAAGCCCACGGCUCAACCGUGGAGGGUCAUUGGAAACUGGGGGACUUGAGUGCAGAAGAGGAAAGUGGAAUUCCAAGUGUAGCGGUGAAAUGCGUAGAGAUUUGGAGGAACACCAGUGGCGAAGGCGACUUUCGGGUCUGUAACGGACGCUGAGGCGCGAAAGCGUGGGGAGCAAACAGGAUUAGAUACCCUGGUAGUCCACGCCGUAAACGAUGAGUGCUAAGUGUUAGGGGGUUUCCGCCCCUUAGUGCUGCAGCUAACGCAUUAAGCACUCCGCCUGGGGAGUACGGUCGCAAGACUGAAACUCAAAGGAAUUGACGGGG
rnacentral:rRNA from 1 species